rnacentral:misc_RNA from 1 species
AAAGGGCAAAGAUCUUGACGUUCAAAUUCAAUUCAGUAAUAUUCGAGCAUUACAGCAUUCUAGGCAGUAGGGACUACCUUCAAUUCAACAACCAAAAUGCCGAGGUGAGGUCGCACAAUGCAUCCCCUCCAAAGGAUUUCAAAUUAACAUCACAUACAAAUAAAAUAAACCCAGCCAACUCAACAAGCACCCUCAACUUGCAAAGAUUUUUUUUUUUUUUUUUAUCAAAGCUCAACUUACAAAGAUGACUUGUAUUGUAUCCCACUACGAAGAAACUAACAUCGUCCUACUCAUGUGUAGUGUAUAACCUGGCUAACUACCAUACAGAGGAACUCGGCUUCAGAAACGGAGGCUACCUAUAGAUAACCACCCACUCACCUUUAACUGUACAAAAGGAAAUUUAUUUUCUAUAUGUAUAUCAUUCAGCAUUCUUUGCAGUUUCGG